GCUUGCACAAUGCACCACAGAUUUGUUCUUGUGAGUAAUUACUACGGGUUGCUUGACUUGGAGUUGGAACUCAAAAGGCUAGAUUAAUCAAUAAAUCAAGUGACCAUGGUUAAAGGCAGCAGCGGCAACAUUCAAUCAUACGAUGGAAGAUGAGAAUCUUGCCAAUAACUUGAUUGUUCACAUAGAGCGUGAAAUCGCAGAGAAGUACAUCUUUGAGGACAUUUUAGCGGAAUUCAAGAGCAUAAGUGAUCGAAAAGCUGAUCUGCAGUACCACUCCUUUUGUAGUUCUUAGUUGGCUCACAUAAUGUCUUUGGGUUUGAAGACUGAGUGGUACAAGUAGACAAGUUGUAUAUUUUGGUGUAAUUAGUUCUCUUAUGAAGUAUAUAUUGCUAAUCAUACAUGUAUUUUGCGAGCAAUUUGGGUAAUAUAAGUAUAAAUUUGCUUGGAGGCUCCAAGUUCUUGUCGGUUGCCGUUGGUUAAUUUUUUUCGUCAGUGCCCCCCCCNNNNNNNNNNUAGAUAGUAAUAGCCCGUGUAAGAGCAAAAGGCCACAAGCCCAUCUUGGCAUCUUUGGCAUUAUCACGAUUCACGAACACGGCCACCAGCCUGCUCGGGGCUCGGCUGCUUCAUGUCUCUUUCCCCACGCUCGCCGCUUAGGCACGGUGGCUCGCCUCAUUGCUCCAUCCACGCCGUCGCUCUGCCUCGACACCGACGCCGAGGAGGCAAGGAGAAACUUGCCACCGAUCCACGCGCGCCGAGGAUGGAGGUCGUGAGGGGGGAACUAGGGCGCACCUGAAACGUCUGUUUUCUUCUCCUCGCCACUGGCCGGUCGCCGGUGGUCGUCGAUGUCCGCCGGCCGGCAGUCCAUCGGCUGGUCGCUGGCCGCUGGCCGCCCCCCUACACAAAUUUCUGUAAGUACCAUCUACCCAGCUCAAAUUACAACCUGAAACCAAUGGAUCCCCUUUUGUAGUGUUGCCUUGCUUGUACGAGUAAAUUGGGGGUAGCACGCCUGUAUGAGUACUGCUGAUUAGUACUUUAGCAGUUACUCCACAGGUUGGGGGAAGCACACCUGUACAAGUAGUAAUUUAGUAUGCUAUUUAUUUGAUCUAAUUGCAAAUAUCUUGUUGCUUGCACAAUGCACCACAGAUUUGUUCUUGUGAGUAAUUACUACGGGUUGCUUGACUUGGAGUUGGAACUCAAAAGGCUAGAUUAAUCAAUAAAUCAAGUGACCAUGGUUAAAGGCAGCAGCGGCAACAUUCAAUCAUACGAUGGAAGAUGAGAAUCUUGCCAAUACCUUGGUUGUUCACAUAGAGCGUGAAAUCGCAGAGAAGUACACCUUUGAGGACAUUUUAGCGGAAUUCAAGAGCAUAAGUGAUCGAAAAGCUGAUCUGUAGUACCAC
rnacentral:lncRNA from 1 species